ACUCUGGUGGAGGUCCGUAGCGAUUCUGACGUGCAAAUCGAUCGUCAAACUUGGGUAUAGGGGCGAAAGACUAAUCGAACCAUCUAGUAGCUGGUUCCCUCCGAAGUUUCCCUCAGGAUAGCUGGUACUCUAUCGCAGUUUUAUCCGGUAAAGCGAAUGAUUAGAGGCCUUGGGGACGAAACGACCUCAACCUAUUCUCAAACUUUAAAUGGGUAARAAGUCUGGCUCGCUCGAUUGGAGUCAGGCCCUACCGAAUGCGAGUACCAAGUGGGCCAUUUUUGGUAAGCARAACUGGCGCUGUGGGAUGAACCAAACGCUCGGAUAAAGUGCCUAAGGGUGGCGCUCAUGAGAAACCAUAAAAGGUGUUGGUUGAUAUAGACAGCAGGACGGUGGCCAUGGAAGUCGGAAUCCGCUAAGGAGUGUGUAACAACUCACCUGCCGAAUCAACCAGCCCUGAAAAUGGAUGGCGCUGGAGCGCUCCACUUAUUCCGAGCCGUUUCGGCAAUGGUGUU
rnacentral:rRNA from 9 species